rnacentral:rRNA from 1 species
UCAUAGCGACUAUCGUGGCAUAUCAAUAAGCGGAGGAAAAGAAACUAACAAGGAUUCCCUUAGUAACGGCGAGUGAAGCGGGAAGAGCUCAAAUUUGAAAUCUUCAAGGUUUUACCUUGACGAAUUGUAGUUUAAAGAAGUGUUUUCUGUUGGAGUUUUGGUAAAAGUUCUUUGGAAUAGGACAUCAUAGAGGGCGAGAAUCCCGUAUUUGACCAUUAUUUCCAGCUGUGUGAUACACUUUCAAAGAGUCGGAUUGUUUGGGAAUGCAGUCCAAAAUGGGUGGUAAAUUUCAUCUACAGCUAAAUAUUGGCGAGAGACCGAUAGCGAACAAGUACCGUGAGGGAAAGAUGAAAAGAACUUUGAAAAGAGAGUUAAACAGUACGUGAAAUUGUCAAAAGGGAAGCGUUUGACACCAGUGUUGUUUUCUCGAAAAUCAAUUAAAAAUGAUGGGAUUUUGUGUUGUAUUGACUUUAUCAGCUUUCUGCACUUUUUUCUUAUCUUUUUUAAUGCACCUUUUCGUUUAACAAGUCAACAUCAAUUUCUUUUGUUGCUAAAAGAGUCAUUGGAAGGUGGCUUUUUUCUUCGGAAAAAGUGUUUAUAGCCUUUGGCUUCUGCAAUCGGAGAGAUUGAGGUCUGCAGCGUAGAUCCUUCGGGGUUAGAUACAUUUGUGCUAAGCUAUAGUUCUUUAUAGACAACUUGUUGACUAUAAUCAAUCCUGUAACUUACUCGCUUAUGCUAUUUUACCUACGCUUAGGAUGUUGAUAGUCACAGCGUGUAC